GACAUCUGAAUGACUUAUUAUUUUUCCUUAUUUGGGAAUAUAAUUUUCAUUUUUUUCCCAAUCCUAUGUUGUGAUUCCCCAUUUGAAUUCGUUGUAAUCGCAGUUACAAUAUUGUACUGUAUACAGAGCUGUAUAGAGUACGUACUUUGGCCAGCAGAUGGCGCCACAUACCUUGACGACGACAGGUCUUGUAAGACAGCCGAAAUAGUUAAUUUAUUAGAGUCGACAAAUAAUUUUCCAUGCCUUUACAUAAGAUGUUUGAAACUAUUUGAUGGUUUUAUUAAAAUAAUUUAAAAAUCGAACCACGACCCCAAUAGGCAAUACAUCGAAAUAUAAAUACAUAUUGCGAAAUCCAUUAAACCACCCCCACACCGUUAGUUUGCGAGACAGCAAAGUCUGUCGUGUCGUGCAACUGACACCUACAAACAAUACAGUCGACCCUCCGGUCAAGGAACCUCAUUAAAACAGAAAAAUUACAAGAAAAAGUCAUUUGCGGCUGAUGCUGAAGCAGCACGAUGGUGUCAGAGUGAGCCGAAAGAUGCUGUGCCCCUGACAAUAUCUUACCAGAUUUGGAGGACAACAAAGUCGUUGAGAUGAAUUCUUCCUUCCACAGGCUGAUCCUGAAGCUGAGUGAGCAGAAAGAUGAUAUACGUACCACUGACAGCUGAUACUGAAGCAGCACGUUGUCGUUGGAGUGAGUAGAAAGACGCUCUACCACUGACAAAUGUGAUCCCUGGUCUACGUGAUUUUACCAGUUGGAGGAGAACACAAAGCAGUUGAGAUGAUGCACGUUGGCGUUGGAGUGAGCAGAAAGAUGCUCUACCACUGACAUUUUGGAAGAAAACAAAGUCGCUGAGAUGAUGCUCCACUCAGUUCGUCCCUCCACAGGCUGAUACUGAAGCAGCACGUUGUCGUUGGAGUGAGUAGAAAGACGCUCUACCACUGACAAAUGUGAUCUUGGCCUACGUGAUCUUACCAAUUUGUGGAUAAAACAAAGUCGCUGAGAUGAUGCUCCACUCAGUUCAUCGUUGGAGUGAGUAGAAAGAUGCUCUACCACUGACAUGAACCGACGUGUACAUGUUCCUGUGAUGCUGAAGUGGCACGUUGGCGGUGGAAUGAACAGAAAGAUGCUGUACCACUGACAAACUGCUUCUGCCACCUCUCCGACUCCAACCACCUCUGUUGCCUCCAUCAUGAUGUUCGUGUUUCAGACCUCGAGGCCUGGGCCCAGAGCUGGGUGUCAUUGUGGAUAAGAGCAGCACACACAGGGCCAAUGUCAUCAGUCUGGACAUGAUUGUUUACCUGUAAGGGCAAAAUAUUAGAAACAUCUCUUCGUGCAGUGCAUCACAGCAAACUAUUACCCCAAUAACAGUAAGAUAAUGUUGCAUUAAUACCUCAGAACUGAACAUUAUUGUGGUUUCAACCAUCCGAUAAAUUUUGAGCUGCUAACUGAUUGUUCAUUUUAAUUCCAGAAUGUGAUCUUGGCCUACGUGAUCUUACCAGUUUGUCUAGAAAACAAAGAUGCUGAGAUGAUGCUCCACUCACUUCUUCCCUCCACACGUUGGUGUUGAGUGAGCAGAAAGAUGGUGUACCACUGACACUACGACUUUAUACCAGUUCUAAUGUUGACUUUAUCCUUGAAUUGGCCAAUGAUGAAACACAUUCGGUUUGCAGUUUGACUAAUGGAAUAUUAAUGUGUUGGACCCAAGCUGAGAUGCCAACAUCUCAUCGUUAUUAUGGACUGGCUCAGUAGCCAGCCCAUAGACUGCUACUUGCAGUAGCAGUCUAUGGGCUGGCUACUGAGCCAGCCCAUAUUGUUAU